rnacentral:misc_RNA from 1 species
GAUAUCAGCUUCGUUGAAAAUUUAGGCGAAAUGUUCUUUCUUUUUUUGUCAACGUCAGUUUAUUGGUCUUUUGAUACUUCGCGAUGUGUCUAAUAACCAAUAAAACAUUUUAUCCUUUGGGAUGAAUUUUUUUUGUACAUCGAUUUAUUUGAGGCACAAUUUUUUCCUCAAGAAUAUAUUUUAAAAACCGUUGAUAGUCUUUGAUACGGCAAAUCAUGAUCAAAUGCCAGGCGAAAAGAUCUUCGGAUAACGUUUCUGCCCGCUCCCUAUUUCUCGUAUUCUUUUUUCUGCUACAGGCAAAUCGUCGUCGCGGACGUCGAAGCGGAGACUUUGCAGUACAUUGCUACGCGUCUCCUUCCCAAUGAAUGCCAGAGCAUAAUUAACCACGAAG